CGAUGAACCUCCUUCGGGAGGGGAUUAGUGGCGAACGGGUGAGUAACACGUGGGCAAUCUGCCCUUCACUCUGGGACAAGCCCUGGAAACGGGGUCUAAUACCGGAUACGACCACCGACCGCAUGGUCUGGUGGUGGAAAGCUCCGGCGGUGAAGGAUGAGCCCGCGGCCUAUCAGCUUGUUGGUGGGGUGAUGGCCUACCAAGGCGACGACGGGUAGCCGGCCUGAGAGGGCGACCGGCCACACUGGGACUGAGACACGGCCCAGACUCCUACGGGAGGCAGCAGUGGGGAAUAUUGCACAAUGGGCGAAAGCCUGAUGCAGCGACGCCGCGUGAGGGAUGACGGCCUUCGGGUUGUAAACCUCUUUCAGCAGGGAAGAAGCGAAAGUGACGGUACCUGCAGAAGAAGCGCCGGCUAACUACGUGCCAGCAGCCGCGGUAAUACGUAGGGCGCAAGCGUUGUCCGGAAUUAUUGGGCGUAAAGAGCUCGUAGGCGGCUUGUCACGUCGGAUGUGAAAGCCCGGGGCUUAACCCCGGGUCUGCAUUCGAUACGGGCAGGCUAGAGUUCGGUAGGGGAGAUCGGAAUUCCUGGUGUAGCGGUGAAAUGCGCAGAUAUCAGGAGGAACACCGGUGGCGAAGGCGGAUCUCUGGGCCGAUACUGACGCUGAGGAGCGAAAGCGUGGGGAGCGAACAGGAU
rnacentral:rRNA from 1 species